GUGCUCACUUAAGCAGCACACACUAAAAUUGGAGCAAUACAGAGAUUAGCAUGGCCUUUGCUCAAGGAUGGGGUGCAAAUUUGUGAAGUUUUCCAUAUUUAA
ensembl:snRNA U6 U6 spliceosomal RNA